CGGAGCGUAGCUCAGCCUGGCUAGAGCGCCUGGUUUGGGUCCAGGAGGUCGCAGGUUCAAAUCCUGUCGCUCCGA
rnacentral:tRNA from 1 species